UAGGGAAUCUUCCACAAUGGACGCAAGUCUGAUGGAGCAACGCCGCGUGAGUGAAGAAGGUUUUCGGACCGUAAAGCUCUGUUGUUGGUGAAGAAGGAUAGAGGUAGUAACUGGCCUUUAUUUGACGGUAAUCAACCAGAAAGUCACGGCUAACUACGUGCCAGCAGCCGCGGUAAUACGUAGGUGGCAAGCGUUGUCCGGAUUUAUUGGGCGUAAAGCGAGCGCAGGCGGAAGAAUAAGUCUGAUGUGAAAGCCCUCGGCUUAACCGAGGAAUUGCAUCGGAAACUGUUUUCUUGAGUGCAGAAGAGGAGAGUAGAACUCCAUGUGUAGCGGUGGAAUGCGUAGAUAUAUGGAAGAAUACCAGUGGCGAAGGCGGCUCUCUGGUCUGCAACUGACGCUGAGGCUCGAAAGCAUGGGUAGCGAACAGGAUUAGAUACCCUUGGUAGUCCAUGCCGUAAACGAUGAGUG
rnacentral:rRNA from 1 species